rnacentral:rRNA from 1 species
AUUGAACGCUGGCGGAAUGCUUUACACAUGCAAGUCGAGCGGCAGCGCGGGGCAACCUGGCGGCGAGCGGCGAACGGGUGAGUAACACAUCGGAGCGUGCCCUAUCGUGGGGGAUAACGAAUCGAAAGAUUCGCUAAUACCGCAUACGACCUGAGGGUGAAAGCGGGGGAUCGCAAGACCUCGCGCGAUUGGAGCGGCCGAUGUCGGAUUAGCUAGUUGGUGAGGUAAAGGCUCACCAAGGCGACGAUCCGUAGCUGGUCUGAGAGGACGACCAGCCACACUGGGACUGAGACACGGCCCAGACUCCUACGGGAGGCAGCAGUGGGGAAUUUUGGACAAUGGGGGCAACCCUGAUCCAGCCAUUCCGCGUGAGUGAAGAAGGCCUUCGGGUUGUAAAGCUCUUUCGGCAGGAACGAAAAGGUGCGGGCUAAUACCCUGUAUCAAUGACGGUACCUGAAGAAGAAGCACCGGCUAACUACGUGCCAGCAGCCGCGGUAAUACGUAGGGUGCGAGCGUUAAUCGGAAUUACUGGGCUUAAAGCGUGCGCAGGCGGCUUUGUAAGACAGGUGUGAAAUCCCCGGGCUUAACCUGGGAACUGCGCUUGUGACUGCAAGGCUUGAGUGUGGCAGAGGGGGGUGGAAUUCCACGUGUAGCAGUGAAAUGCGUAGAGAUGUGGAGGAACACCGAUGGCGAAGGCAGCCCCCUGGGUCAACACUGACGCUCAUGCACGAAAGCGUGGGUAGCAAACAGGAUUAGAUACCCUGGUAGUCCACGCCCUAAACGAUGCCAACUAGGUGUUGGGGAAGGAGACUUCCUUAGUACCGUAGCUAACGCGUGAAGUUGGCCGCCUGGGGAGUACGGUCGCAAGAUUAA